rnacentral:rRNA from 1 species
UACAUAGGUGGCAAGCGUUAUCCGGAAUUAUUGGGCGUAAAGAGCGCGCAGGUGGUUAAUUAAGUCUGAUGUGAAAGCCCACGGCUUAACCGUGGAGGGUCAUUGGAAACUGGUUGACUUGAGUGCAGAAGAGGGAAGUGGAAUUCCAUGUGUAGCGGUGAAAUGCGUAGAGAUAUGGAGGAACACCAGUGGCGAAGGCGGCUUCCUGGUCUGCAACUGACACUGAGGCGCGAAAGCGUGGGGAGCAAACAGG